UACGUAGGGGGCAAGCGUUGUCCGGAAUUAUUGGGCGUAAAGAGCGUGUAGGCGGUCCGGUAAGUCAGCUGUGAAAGUCAAGGGCUCAACCCUUGAAUGCCGGUUGAUACUGUCGGGCUAGAGUCCGGAAGAGGCGAGUGGAAUUCCCGGUGUAGCGGUGAAAUGCGCAGAUAUCGGGAGGAACACCCGUAGCGAAGGCGGCACUCUGGGCCGGUACUGACGCUGAGGAGCGAAAGCGUGGGGAGCAAACAGG
rnacentral:rRNA from 1 species